GGUGGCUUAAUGGUAGAGCGCUUGCCUUGUAUGCAUGAGGCCCUGGGUUCAAUUCCUCAGCACCA
rnacentral:tRNA from 1 species